rnacentral:sRNA from 1 species
AAAUUCAGUAAAGUGAAGAAGGUUUGUGGAGAAUGACUUGGGCAACAAAGCCGAAAUCCACCAAACAGUAAGAAAAAAUUGUAAUGAAGAAAGAAAGCCUUAUUUAUCACAUAUUUACUAAUGAACUUUAGCCUACAACUUACAAACCCGUUGAAAAGUCAAAUCUCACUUUUAUGAUUGGGACAGGCAACCUUGCAUGGAAACCCGGUUCAUCGUCGCAGGAAAAAAUAAUAUUUUAUUAUUUAGAUGUACUUUGAUCAAAAAUAAAUUAAGGAGUAAGAAAAUUUGAAAAGAGGCGUAUCCGAUGUUUCCAUAAUUGUUGAAUGAUACAAAUUAGACUACAUAGAUUGAUAUUAUAUCCUUUCAACAAUG